GGCUCUCGCUCGGCGCGGCCAUGGAGGCGGACGGGAGCCAGGCUACCUCGGGGAGCCCCGGAGAGGCGCAGCACGACCCCGGCAAGAUGUUCAUCGGCGGCCUCAGCUGGCAAACCUCACCAGACAGCCUUAGAGACUAUUUUAGCAAAUUCGGAGAAAUUAGGGAGUGUAUGGUCAUGCGGGACCCCACCACCAAGCGCUCCAGAGGCUUCGGGUUCGUUACGUUCGCGGAUCCGGCGAGUGUAGACAAAGUCCUGGCUCAGCCGCACCACGAGCUGGACUCCAAGACGAUUGACCCUAAAGUUGCGUUUCCCCGGCGAGCACAGCCCAAGAUGGUCACAAGAACAAAGAAAAUAUUUGUAGGUGGAUUAUCGGCUAACACAGUAGUGGAAGACGUGAAGCAAUACUUUGAACAGUUUGGCAAGGUAGAGGAUGCCAUGCUAAUGUUUGACAAGACGACCAACAGGCAUAGAGGAUUUGGCUUCGUAACUUUUGAAAAUGAAGACGUGGUGGAAAAAGUCUGUGAAAUUCAUUUCCACGAAAUCAAUAAUAAAAUGGUAGAAUGUAAGAAAGCACAACCUAAAGAAGUGAUGUUUCCACCAGGGACGAGAGGAAGGGCACGUGGAUUGCCGUACACCAUGGACGCUUUUAUGCUAGGGAUGGGAAUGUUGGGUUACCCGAAUUUUGUUGCAACAUAUGGCCGAGGAUAUCCUGGAUUUGCCCCAAGUUACAGUUAUCAGUUCCCAGGUUUCCCAGCAGCGGCUUAUGGACCAGUAGCAGCGGCAGCCGUGGCAGCAGCAAGAGGAUCAGGUUUUGUUUUACGUGCAAACAGACCUGAGGGUGUCUCUGAGGCAAACUUUCCGGCCUCUCUUACACUCGGACGUGCACACCUCCUCUCAAACACUCUUCUGAGCGCUCUCAGCGGGAAGUCUUGAAUAGCUACAGUGCUCAACCGAAUUUUGGCGCACCCGCUUCCCCGGCAGGCUCCAACCCAGCGCGGCCCGGAGGCUUCCCCGGGGCCAACAGCCCCGGGCCCGUCGCGGAUCUCUACGGCACGGCCAGCCAGGACUCCGGCGUGGGUAACUACAUAAGCGCCGCCAGCCCGCAGCCGGGCUCCGGCUUCGGACACGGCAUCGCUGGACCUUUGAUUGCAACGGCUUUUACAAAUGGAUACCAUUGAAACGUUACACAUGGUUGGUUGCCAUCUCACUUGGAGAGUCUCUCUGGAUGUCCGGGCAAGACAGGGCGAAGUUUCUGAAGGGCCCCACGUUGGGUGAUCUCAUCAGACUUUGAGCACUACAUCAUCAUCAUCAUCAUCAUCAUCAUCAUCACCGCCAACGCAAACUGGAGGUGGCACUCGAAGGACUUGGGUUGUUUAAAAUCUCUCUCAUCAUCUCAUGAAUCUGCUGUACUAUAAAAACAACAGCUUUUAAAAGUAUGUAUAUAAAACCCAUUUCUUGUUCGUUUUAUUUUCUCGAUGGGUCCCUCCUCCCCUCUUUUUAAGCCUCUCCAAACCCACAUCUUUUCGUAGCCUUUUUGACAUAGUCUCGUAGCCACGUAGUCAGAAUUCUUUGUGUAUGUAGCGAGAGCCUAACCAUAGUGUAACUGUUAUAUUAAGGGGUUUCUUUUGCUUUUCUUUCCCACCUCCCCUCCUCCUCCUCCUCCUCCCUUCUGUUUUACGUAGUUGUUGUUGCUUAAAGGAUGCUGAGAUGGUGACAGGAGCCUGGGCCACGGGGGGAGCGGAGCCAGCGGCGGGUGCGGCACGGGGGGCUGGCAGGGCACGGGGAGGGGGGAGCAACAGGUUCUCUGGCCCUUCUUUUCCUUUGUGGCGUCUUGGUUACUCUAAUUCUCUCUAUUUUCGGCAAUAAGGCGAGGGCGACAAACUUUUUGCGCGUCCUUUUUCUAUAUAAGUGCUUUUUUUUGUUGAAAGAGGUGAUAUAAGGUUUUUUGAAAUUGUGAAUUCUGAAAAAAAAAAAAAGAAAAAAAUAAUAAAAUGCUG